AUUGAACGCUGGCGGCAGGCCUAACACAUGCAAGUCGAACGAGUGGCGGACGGGUGAUUAAUGUCUGGGAAACUGCCUGAUGGAGGGGGAUAACUACUGGAAACGGUAGCUAAUACCGCAUACCAUCGGAUGUGCCCAGAUGGGAUUAGCUAGUAGGUGGGGUAACGGCUCACCUAGGCGACGAUCCCUAGCUGGUCUGCGAGGAUGGCCAGCCACACUGGAACUGAGACACGGUCCAGACUCCUACGGGAGGCAGCAGUGGGGAAUAUUGGACCAUGGGCGAAAGCCUGAUCCAGCCAUGCCGCGUGUGUGAAGAAGGUCGUCGGAGUGUAAAGCACUUUAAGUUGGGAGGCGUUACCAACAGAAUAAGCACCGGCUAACUUCGUGCCAGCCGCCGCGGUAAUUC
rnacentral:rRNA from 1 species